rnacentral:rRNA from 1 species
GUGGGGAAUAUUGGACAAUGGGGGCAACCCUGAUCCAGCCAUGCCGCGUGUGUGAAGAAGGCCUUCGGGUUGUAAAGCACUUUAAGUAGGGAGGAAAGGAUGAUUGCUAAUAUCAGUCAUCAUUGACGUUACCUACAGAAUAAGCACCGGCUAACUCUGUGCCAGCAGCCGCGGUAAUACAGAGGGUGCAAGCGUUAAUCGGAAUUACUGGGCGUAAAGCGCGCGUAGGCGGUUUGUUAAGUCUGAUGUGAAAUCCCUGGGCUCAACCUAGGCACUGCAUCGGAUACUGGCUAACUAGAGUGUGGGAGAGGAAGGUAGAAUUCCAGGUGUAGCGGUGAAAUGCGUAGAGAUCUGGAGGAAUACCGAUGGCGAAGGCAGCCUUCUGGCCUGACACUGACGCUGAGGUGCGAAAGCAUGGGGAGCAAACAGGAUUAGAAACCCUGGUAGUCC